UGCUGAAAUCAUAGGCAUGGGUCACAAU
rnacentral:piRNA from 1 species